UAAUAAUUAGCUUUAAAUUAACGUAUGUAGGUAUCGUUGCUUUUCCAUAUCAUUUGAACAUCAUGGGAACCUCAAGAUUGUUACUAAAAACGUUGGACAGCUCCAGAAAAGCUCUAGAAUUUUUGCAAAUGAAGCUGGAAUUUAAUUUAAUAUUUAGAACUUUGCCAAAUUGAAGGGACCAUGAAAUUUAAAUCACCGAAAAAGGAAAAUAAUCAAGAGGCGAGAAGGGCGAAUGGGUGGGGGGGGUCGGACAAAAGAGGGGCAGCGAGCGAAUUUAGGGGGCUGGGCCUCCACCCAACGAGCGAAAAAAAUGAAAGAAGAAAGCCGAAAAGGAACCGACUCGGGAAAACCUCAAGGAAAAUUGCAUUUGGAAACUUCCAAUCCCAGACGAGCGAAAAAGAGGGCAGAGAGGGAAAGCUCACCCAUACACGUGCACUCACACCAAUUGGGGGGCCAGCCAAUAUGAUUUAAACACUCACGCACACACACAGGCACACUCUUGCGAACACCUACAGUGAUGUUAACGCCGGCAGCGCAGUCGGCGUCGCCGUCGACGCCGGCAGAGAAGUGUGUGUUGUGUGCAUGACAAUUCAUCUCUUUCUUAUAAACGCAAUUUAUCAAACGCAAACGACGAGCGACAGCAAAAGAUGAAGACGACGACACGAUAUCAACUUGAUGUGGCGCCAUCUCGCUUGCUCCCGCUCACUCACUCAAGCAAGAACCGAAACAGAAAGCCAAAAACAAAAAAAUGGCACAUGAAGAAAAAUAGGAGUUGCCGUCGGCGCUCUUCUUCUUCUUCGCCGUCGCUGCGAAAUACGAAAAAAAAACAGCGAACACACAGGAACAGCAACAAAGUGACUGAAACCGCCAUAAUCUUGACAGACAAGUGCACGCGCUCUUUUCGCCGCGCUUUUAAUGGUUUGUUUUUGUCUGAAUUCGCCGAACAGCGCGGGAGAGAGCCACGAGCGAGAUGGCAUGCGUUGCAGUUGCGUUGGAGCGAGAGGCACUAAGUGUUUUAUGGCAACGCGUUUUACAGCUGUUUCACAGUUGUGCAGCCAUUGCAAGACUAGGCAUGUUACACGAUUUGAGAGUCAUUGGAGUUUCAGGAUCUUCAGUAUUUAGAGUUUUAUGUUCACUGUUUUUAUUUAUAAGGUAUGGAGUCGUUCAAAUCGUGAUUUACUAUUAUUAUAUUUAAACAUUUAUGGUUCACAUUUGGCUACGAACUGGACUGGAGAACUGUUAUGCUCUUAAAUCUUGCAAAAUGCCAUAAAAUACCCAACCAAGGAAAUGCUGCCAAACCGGCUGACUAAGCUGGCCAAAAAUAAUAUAAAACAUUUGUUGUUCUUGCUCGCCGGCCAUUUGCAUAACAGAAACAAUAAAAACAGCAACCUCAAAGAUUAAAAACCGAAUGAAACGAAAUUUAUAAAUUGAUUUCGAGCGCGACUAAAAAUAAAGCCAAAAGUUAAAAGCCAUGAGCCGAGUGACGGGGAAAAGCUGUGGGGAUCAGGAAUCGGAUUGAAAUCAGGAUUUUUGGAAUGAGCAAAUACCGAUUUCCCUUCGGAAAAUCUCCCACAACAAUUUUUACGACUGAUGAAUUGGACAUUUUUGUGACUUCAUGAGUGCGAGGAUGUCUAUAAAUUCAAUGAACUCGGCCAGAACCAUUUAUGAUGUCAAUUCCUGAUGUUUACACGCACAAAACCCCGAAUCCCGAGACACAGAGACAACUUUCACAUUUUACGAGUUUUAUAUGGGCCCUCAGUGCGAUGAUGAUGAUUACUAUGAUGAUUACGAUGACGCUAAAGACGAUGAUGGUAUUUUCACUUGAGAGUUUUACGAGCAACAAAUUGCGCUACAAAUUACACGAUAAAUAGAAAAUUAUGACUAGAGGCGAGUGUACAUAACCCUCGAGCGACCCUUUCGCCGUGGGCUCAUCGUAAAAAUGUCUCCCUCGUUCCCCGAAUGCUCGGUCCUACCAUUUCCAGCAAUCUUUUCCUGAGGAAUAGACCCAGACCCCCUCCAGUCUGCCUUUACAAGCUGUCAAAAAGUUUUUGUUUGGUGUAAAUUCAAUUGUUGCGCCGUUUAUUGAUAUUUCAUUUCGGGCCCAUUGCUACAGAGUUUUCCCAUUUCCCAUUCGAUGAUGCACUCGGAAAGUCGUAAAGUUGCGAGCCGACCAAAAAAACAAUGGCAAAGUUUUUACGACCGGAACAACAAGAUUUUUACCUUUUCAAGAACUAGAACUGCAAGUUGGAGGAGGAUUUCGGGUAAGGGUUAAUUUAUUGAGUGAUGGCCUUGUGGCCUUCAAGGACUUUCGGACCAUAACAGGUUGUCUGCUUUGGGUUAAGCAUAUCCAUAUCCACGACGGGAUCGUAAAUUUCCGGUUAAUAGGGCAUUUCACACCUAGCAAAAAAGCUGCAACCUGAAGCAACGUGCAACAUGCUGCAUUAACGAACCUGUCAAAAGUGACAAGUAUGCCGCUUAAAGUUGAGCAACUUAUCGACGGUUUCAUUAAGCACGGGUUAUCUAUGGGCCUUACUAUAUGUACAUACAUAUACACCCAACUGCAUCCUUGGCCACGUGGUCAAAACUGACAGCUCCCCAAAAGUGUUUUCCCUAAUUGAUGGGCUUCUUUUUUUUGGGGGGACAGGAGGUAAAGGUGGAGCAUAGGCAGGUAUUUUGUAAUUAAGCCACUUGAGCCCUCUCCAGAUUGAGUACAGUGGGCCAAAACGGUCGGCGGGACAGUGGGACAGACGGACGGACGGAUAGACAUGUCAAGUUAGCAAUUGAAAUAUAUUGCAGGUGGAGCAGUUGAGCGGCCAGAGGCAAACAAAACCAUCGGACAAACAUUCUAUCGCAAAGGUAAAUGCUUUUUUUGACACUGCCUAAUGCGACUUAAUGUUGCGGUUACGCAUUUUGUUCAGGUACAGUGCGGUAUGGUUAUAUAUAACCACGAAAAAUGUUAGAAAAUAAACAGAGUUUUUCCAAUUCAAAACAGUAAUACAUUCUUAAACAUAUGAAUUUGCUUUAAUAAAUACCUUUGAAAUACAUACAGCAUCGACUGUACUGCGUAUACAAAUUUAUUAAACACUUACUAUUUAUUAGCCUUAAAUUUUCUCGCCGCACUGUAUUCCUUUAUCUUUUUUGCUCUACCUCCAAAAAUAAUCAUGGGAAAUACCUUUGGUGGAGAAUGGAAUGGAACAUGCAGGUCGGUCUAUGAAAGCCACUCAAUCAUUCUGCUUCACUUCAUGGAAAAAAAUAAAAUAAAAAGAAACGUUUUAACUGAUCGCUCAAUCACUGAUAUACAAGUGUCUGUAUAUGGAGAUAUAUAUAUAUUUGUAUCAAUAUAUAUACUCGAUCGCUGGGUGGCAGACGUUGCCUGAAUUGAAUUCAUUGUUGAGGAGCGAUUUGGUUAAGUCACCCGCGUGAUUGUUUGCUUUUUGGCCAGAUAAGUAGCUCCGCUCCACCCUCUGAACCCCCUGGAAAAUUGGCUCCUGAUUCACCUGAGGCCAAAGGUCAAUCAACAGGUGACGGGGCUUUUUUCGUGGCUUCUGUGGGAAGAUUUCAGAAUUCCGAGACACCACGUUCAAGGGUGGGAAUUUAAAUUUUAUAUUGAUAACCAUUUACUCCAACUUUAUGGCCGUGCAAAAUUUGAUGACCGAUUUUAUUGGCUCACGGAUGUUAAAAUAUUUUCUGCACAUUAUGAGAUUCAGCACGCUGGAUGCGAUUUCUUUCUAAAAAGAUGACCCAUUUUGAUGUAAGUAUUUUAGUAAACCGUUUUCAAAUUAUAAAAAAAAAAACAUGUUUGCCCUUUUCCCUAAUCUCCUCAAGGACCGACAUAAAUUUGCUCGACUUCAUUCAUUGAUUCAAUUUACUUCUGCUCAAAGUUGACUCGUAAAUUUCUUCCCAAUUAAUGGGAUCAGGCGGAAUUUGCCUCAUCUUUGAGAAUUAACUGACUCACCCAGUUCCUUUGUGGAUUAUCUGCGAUCGGACUUCAUUGCGGUCAUAAUAUAAGCCAUCAGGCAAUUCGCAAUCUAAAUGUCCAGCUAAAACUACUGUUAAAACUAACCAGGCUGAAAAGAAAUCGCAUAAAAACAAAACUUGUCCGGCCAUUAUAAACCAAAGUCGUUGCUGCAUUUUGGGGCACGCAACGCAAACGCGAAGGGGCAGGAAGAAAUUUCAUUUUUACGAUCCGUGUGGGAUCGUAAAAUGUCUGGGCGACCGCGUGUGGAACGUUUAAUUUGAUGCUGAAAUACUGAUACUGAUAGGCCCGAACCGCGGGCACUUAAAUUGCAUAUAAAAGUGGCUUUUAUGAUUGGCCUUCUAUUAGCGAAAUCAACUAUUACGUGUUAAAUCGCACGAUCCACCCAGCCGGACAACAAGGGCCACAAAAUGAUCGUAAAAUUUAGACAGUUGUAAAAUUUCGAGUUGGUUUCCCUUUUCUUCCUGUGGUUCAGAGUGUGUAAAUCAAAGGAUGUGCAGCCAGGUUGGUGGUGCACUAAGAAAAAAUGCUACCUUCGAUUAUACUCAGGAAUGUAGUGCCUGAGAUUGAACACCACAUUGACUGAAUCUGAUCAGAGUGCAACACUUUCUACUGCUUCCUUAAGCACAUCCUUUUUUUUCACAGUGUAUCCUCCUAUCCAGGUCAUAGUUCGCCGGGCAAGGUGUCGACUUACAUGUGCAGCGAUGGAUGGCCGGCAAGCCCCUACCAAAAUAAAACUGAUGGAAUGGAGUGCGGUGGAGUGGUUCGAACCUUUGGAAUGGCAGCAGGCAGGAUCCGAGAUCCCUAGAUGCCAGGAUCUCCUGGCACAGAAAGCGAAAAAAAAGAAGGAAAGGGACAAGACUUCUGAAGGGAGAGGUAUAACCUUUAACCUCCGGAUCGGUCGGUCGGUUGUGCAUAGAGUGACAGCAGUGGAAACCACCCAGAGCCAUUGGAAUGUUCCAACACACACGCCAAAUGGCAAAUGCGAAAUGCGAUGCUGAUGCUUAAUUUCUGGCCAAGGAGUCGGAGGUGGCCACCAGUGGAGGAGCGGCUUGUGGAAUGGUUCGGGGAGCAGCGGCCUGUGGUGGGCCAAAUUGGAUGCCCAGCUGUGUGGAGCAGACUGUGCCAUAACUUAACACCUUCGCUGUUGUCUUCGCCGGAGUGCCAUGGUCAUUGCAUUUGCCAGGCAAAUGCGUUCUCGAAAGCGCCCCACAUGACCAGGAAUAGGGUGACUCAGGGCUAGAAAGUUUGGAAAUAAAUCAAAUAUUUUCAAACAGUACUUAAACUCGAGAUUCAACUAUUGUAUUUCAAAUAGUUACUAGCUAUAUCUCGUGAAUCCUAUAUACUACUACUUACUUCAAUCCCUUAUUAAAGUGUGUUUUCCUACCUAUAUCCAAAUAAA